AGUUAUGUUCGAGAAAAAACCUGCAAAAAGCAGUCAUUUUAGGAACUCAGAUAUACAUGGAUGAAAAAGCUAAUAAAAAUGUCGUCCAUAAUGGAACUUCAUACUUUAAUAACGUAUCUUAAAAUACUUGCCCAGGGGGUGAGAUAUAUUUAGUCAUUGCUGAUCCAUUAAGAAAAGCGAUAUAUACCGACUUUACCUAAAAAGUAAGCUUGUCUAAAAUAACAGUGAUCUAAUCUUUACCAGCUCUGCCCUUUGUCAACACUUAGAAUAUCAGUAGUUGAUCAGCACCAUCGUGAGGCGCAUUACUUCUUUUCUUUCCUUGGAUACGACUUAGCAAUGCUCAAUUUCUUCCCUAGCAAUGUCUGCUUGUUUUUGUCCAAUAGGAGAGGAAGACUAGUAAACUUAAUAUUGUACACAAAUCCUCUCUUGGAUUGCGUUGUUAGUAUGCCGACUCGAUUAGUAAUUUAGAGGAGACAAUAUGGCAGAUUUUUUAAAAUUUGUAUCAAGCACCACCAAUGGGUUUGGGAUGGUUGGCGUCCCUCCUUUAGCCAGUAAAAGCUACGUGAAUUAAGAAUGUAAAACGAUGUACCCCUUAAGUGGACUUACCUGAUGCGACUCUGGAUUAGUCGUCCAAUGGUUAGUACCGAAAAUUUUAAAACAAUACCCAGCAAAGGAUUAUCAAUCUUAGCUGUCCUCAUUCCGUGGCGUGGUGGCGGGAUCGUUAGGGGAGUGAGUGACUACGAAUAUCAAUUUAAGUAGAAGAGACUAAAAUUAUGGAUCUAUCUUUAUUUUACGAUUAUGUUUCAUGUCAGUAUUUUUCCAUUUACACACUAAAUUUUCUUUUCACAUUUACUUAUCAUCAUUUGGGGCCAUGUUGGUCUCACGUUGCGUAACUUACAAAAACCUGCUGGAAACAUUUCAAAGAGUUUUCAAAUAACCAACAAGGGUUAUGGUGUAGUGGCCGGUACUACUUCUUAACCAAGAGACCUCGAGUUCGAGUCCUUUUGGAUACGGAGUCACUAUUGUUAUGGAGUGCUUUGUCCCCCAAUGUGGGAUUACCCAGCACGAAUUUGGAUUUAGUCGGGUCCUAAAGUGGAUACCGGACACCGGAUGAGAACCAAAAAAAAAAAAUUAAGAUAAUUUAAACUUGAAAUUUCUUUCAAUUCUUUUUUUAGAAAUGACACCUAUAUUUAUAGCUAAUUUAUAUUUACAUUUAAUAUCCAGCACUUAUUGUCAUAAAAAUAUCAUAACUGAUUUAAAACCAUAAAUUUCAAAAAUAACUGUUUUAAAAAUGUCAUGUCCAGUCGACUCCAUAUAAAAUGACAGGGUAAAGAGUAAGAAUCAAUAAUUUUUAGAAUUAUUUAUUAUAGAACAAAAUCUAUAAUUCUCCGUCCAGAAAAAAAAAACGCAGUUAUCCAAUAUUCUUUUCCUCACCGCAACAAAACAGACCAUCCCAUUUUUCACCUUCCUUACGCGCUUCAUUGGAGCGUGUUACCCACCAGACUCCAUAUAGCGUAUUUAUUUUUCCCUCUUUACGCAUUCUCCUUUGAACUUAGCAUAUUCCUUGUUUUCUCACACACACACACACACACACACACACACACACAACAAACCAAUAUAUUAUAUACAAAUAAAUACUAUAUACUUAUAUGUUUGUUUAGAUCAUUACUUGGAGAUGGUAUUGAUUUUAAUAUAAAUCUUAUAAGCCUUAGAUUUUAAUCUUGAAAAAUGGUAAUCAUGCGAUCUCACAAGUCUUGUGUUUCAAAUUUAGAUUUGAAUUCUGGUUUCUAUCGACUUGGGUAUUCUAAAAAUCGUAAAGGGUGUCUGAAUCUGAAAUUUGAGCGUUUAUUGAUCAACUUUAAUAAUCCUCAUUAUCUCCAAUUAAGCUCUCAUUUACAUUUGAAGAUUUACAGAUCAAGUGCUAGGCGUUAUGGUUUCUGUUUGCCUCGUAGGCUUCUUAAAGUUCGAGCAAUGGAUGAGGAUGUGGGGGUCUCUUCACUUCAUGACUGGGGAGACAAUAAUGGAGCAAUGGAAUAUAGGUUAUCAUCAAGUGAAGGUGAAGACAGUGAUGGAGAUAUUAUACUACAGCCAAUCACGGAUGUUGAUUUGCCUACGCCCAAGGAGCAGCUUUAUCCUGCUGACAACUCCAUAACGGGAGCUGCUCACCAGCUAUCAAUGCUUGGCAGAGCAUACAAGAGAAAAAAGAUAAAAUAUGGCAUUCUAAACAACAUAGGUCUCAUAAUGUUCUCGACGGUGCUUCUCUCUCUUGUGGAUUGUUGCGCAUGGAAAAUUGUUAGACUGCCCCUGGCUCCACUUUACUUGAUGCGUCCCUUUCUCAUCUCCGCAGUGGCAGUGUCUUGUGUAGGUUACGUCUGUGUCCCGUUAUUUCGUAGUUUAAAACUCCAAUCUGUAAUCAGGAAGGAGGGGCCUGCUCGGCACUCUAGUAAAAAAGGAACUCCAACUAUGGGCGGAUUGUAUUUUGUCCCAAUUGGAGUAAUUGUUUCUGCAAUUAUUGUUGGGUUUUCUUCUCUGGAAGUUCUCGGAGCAUCUGCAGCUACUUUAACUUUUGUAGCAAUUGGAUUACUUGAUGAUUUGAUAAGUAUGAGGAAUAAUAAUGUUGGCUUAUCCGCUCGAUUUCGAAUCAUAUUAGAGGUAGCUGCUGGGACAUUAUUCUCCUUUUGGCUGUAUGCGUCGGACAUAUCGUCACCCUACAGCAUGAAAACAGUGGUUCCCCUACCCGCGCCUCUUGGGCUCAUAUGCCUUGGAAGACUCUAUCCCUUUUUAACUUCAUUUUGCUUUGUUUCCAUGGCUAAUGGAAUUAAUCUUACUGAUGGCCUUGACGGAUUGGCUGGAGGAACUGCCACAUUGGUGUUCAUUGCGAUGUCGAUUGCAGUGCUUCCUAUAUGUUCUGGUCAGUGUGUGAACGAUCCUUGUGGUGGUCAUUGCAAUUCAAGUGUACUGACUUCAUUAAUUAGUUCGAGCUUUCCAUAUUUGGAGCAUCUAUGGCUGGAGCCUGUGCAGGUUUUCUUCUGCACAACCGGUACAAAGCAUCAAUAUUUAUGGGUGAUACAGGAGCCUUAGCCUUAGCGGCUGCACUAGCUUCUAUGGCUGCUUGUACAGGGAUGUUUUUUCCAUUGUUCAUUUCAUCUGGUGUUUUUGUCCUGGAAGCAUUAUCAGUUAUACUGCAGGUUUCCUUCUUCAAGACAACAAAAUAUUUUAGAGGAACUGGACGCCGCUUGUUUCUGAUGGCACCUUUACAUCACCACCUCGAAUUAUGUGGAGUAAAAGAACCUGUCAUUGUUGCUGGUGCAUAUGUUUUUUCUUGCAUUUUAGCCUUGAGUGCCGGAUAUGUUGGAC